CUCUUCCUCCCUCCUUCUCCGCUUCCCCUCUUCUCUUCCAUUUCUCUUGCUCAUCUCCCACCUCCUCUUGAGGACUGUGCCGUUUUGCAGGAAGCAACCACCUUGUACAGGAAGCUUUGAUCCAAUUUAUUUAUCAAGCUGGUGAAAAGCCCCGGACAUCUAAGAUGACAGCAGAUUGAACAGUAAGGAAGGUCUGGUUAUUUUCUUGACUGGAUAAACUAUCUAGACUUUACUUCCUUAUGAUCCAUUACCUGCUUCAGUGGUUACCACCUCCUUUGAAAUGUCCAAUCCUCCAGCAGAGUUCCGGCUUGAGUCACUGGGCCCGUGUAGACACAGCCUAAAAGCCAAUGACCGCAUGAAGGAACAAGUCAAUGUCCAAUGACUAUAAGAGCAUGAGUCCUUCUGUCCCCCGGCCCAAGCUCCUCUAUCUGAGGAGAGAAGAUGUCUCCUGCCAGGGGUCACGUGGACAUGUCCCACUCCUCUGCGCGAUUAAACAGAUCAGAGGCUUUCCUCCUCCAGGGGACACCAGCCAGGAGAGCACUGGAGAGGUGUGGAGGGAGGGUGAGAAAAGACAGCAGUUUGAACAGGGGACCCUGCUGUUACCCCUGCCACACAGGCUCAGAACAAGUCCAGCUGCUGAUGGCCUGGUGCCCCCCCCACCCCCGCCAUGUGAGUGUCACAGAAAGCGGGGAGGGCCAUGCUCUCCCCUGCAACAAGGCGCUGAGGGUUUGGCAGCACUUUGGCCCUGAGAAAGACAAGAAAAGCGUGUGACUUACCAUGUGAGAGCAGGAAGGUGCCCUUCAAGGCACAACACCGACUUUGCCUUCUUACAAAUAGGGAAGCUGAGCCCAAGAGCGAACAAGUAUCUUCCUCGGGGUCAAUACGGGGUCUCAUUCACAGCAGUCAAUGCAAGAACCCAGGUCGCUGGACUGCCAGGCCAGCACUUUCUCAGCCAUCUCCUGCUCUCCUCUCAGACUCCAGCAAAACCAGAUGCAUAUUUGGGAGCGCACUGCUUAGUAUGCAAGCCAGCCUGACCUUUAUACUCCCAGAAUCGGCAGCCUUUUGUGGAAACCAUGGAAGGACAAGGUUCUGGAAAAAUAAUGCAAAGCACACCACACUGUGGAGACAACCAGAAGCCCUGAUCAGACUGCAGAGUCCUUUUCACCUUCCAAGUCCUGAAUCCCAAGUAUAUACACACACGCAGCAACUCAGGCUGCCCUAAGAAUGAAGGAGGUGCAAAACCACAGACCUGACAAUUCAGCCAGUUUGCUUCCUCUUCUGCCCCCCUCCCCAAUCUCCAAAAUAGGGCUGAUUUCUAGAGUAUCAGGAUCUUUGUUAUUCGGUUCCUGAGAGGAACCGGUUCCUGGGAGGUGGGCCCAGCCCAGCGCUGCAAGAGGUCUUGGAACGUCCUGCCAAGGUCCAGGCCUGGCCUCAGGAGAACGCGGCGCUUUGGGACACACACAGGAAGAGUUCCCUCUUCUUAGCAGGGAGCCCCCUCACCCCAGGAAGGGUCCUCUGAGACUUGUGGGCUCCCCUACUGCCCCCCAAAGUUUCUUCCCACUUUUAGGAACUCUGAUAUAUGAAAUCCACCAUGAGAGAUUCACUUCUUUCUUUUUCUUAUAGCACGAGGGUGGAGGAAAGGCUUGUAAAUGCAAAUAUCCUCCAGUGAGCUGGUGUAUGUAUUCACACUAGAUUGUUAGUGACAUAUCUGAUCUCAGAAACCAGACUUUACAGCCCCUUCCUGUUCCUUCUUUGCACAGAGCAAAACCACCAACCUUACUGCCCCUUGCUCUGGGAGUCGGACUGUAUGUGAAUGUGUUCCUCUUCGUGACCUAAAUGAGUAAGUCCUGAUUGUUCUCUGUACUGGUUACCACUCUCCCACCCCCACCCAAGGCACUUUCCCAUGUUCCAGUCCCACCCAUCUCUCUUAGAGCAGAAACUCCGGAGUUAGUUGCUGGGGGCAUGAACGUGUGACCCACUGUUCCAGCAGUGUUUCUCUGGGGAUCCACUGAAUGUCAUCAUGAUGGUGUAAU